GACGAACGCUGGCGGCGUGCCUAAUACAUGCAAGUCGAACGCAGUGGGGACGGGUGAGUAACACGUGGGUAACCUCCCAUCAGAGGGGAGAACACUUGGAAACAGGUGCUAAACUGAUACUGAUGGAUGGUCCCGCGGUGCAUUAGCUAGUUGGUGAGGUAACGGCUCACCAAGGCCAAGAUGCAUAGCCGGUCUGAGAGGAUGAUCGGCCACACUGGGACUGAGACACGGCCCAGACUCCUACGGGAGGCAGCAGUAGGGAAUCUUGGGCAAUGGACGAAAGCCUGAACCAGCCAUGCCGCGUGAGUGAAGAAGGUCUUAGGAUUGUAAAACUCUUUCAGUAGAGAAGCGUUACCUAACGAAAAAGCAACGGCUAACUACGUGCCAGCCGCCGCGGUAAUAC
rnacentral:rRNA from 1 species